UACAGAGGUCUCGAGCGUUGUUCGGAUUCAUUGGGCGUAAAGGGUGCGUAGGUGGCGUGGUAAGUCGGAUGUGAAAUCCCCGGGGCUCAACCCCCGGAACUGCAUUCGAUACUGCCCAUGCUAGAGUACUGGAGAGGAGAUUGGAAUUUACGGUGUAGCAGUGAAAUGCGUAGAUAUCGUAAGGAAGACCAGUGGCGAAGGCGGAUCUCUGGACAGUUACUGACACUGAGGCACGAAGGCCAGGGGGAGCAAACGGGAUU
rnacentral:rRNA from 1 species